CUUUGGGGAGCUGUACGUAAGCUAUGAUCCAGAGAUUUCCGAAUGGGGGAACCCAACAUCUUUAAUAGGAUGUUACGAUUGUGUGAAUACAUAGCACAUUCGAGGUAGACGCAGAGAACUGAAACAUCUAAGUACCUGCAGGAAGAGAAAGAAAAUUCGAUUCCCUGAGUAGCGGCGAGCGAAACGGGAAAAGCCCAAACCAGCAAGCUUGCUUGUUGGGGUUGUAGGACUCCAAUAUGGUAGUUCUUUCAGAUAGUCGAAUGACUUGGAAAAGUCAGUCAAAGAGGGUAAAAACCCCGUAGACGAAAUGUGGAAGACACCUAGGAGGAUCCUGAGUACGGCGGAACACGAGAAAUUCCGUCGGAAUCCGGGAGGACCAUCUCCCAAGGCUAAAUACUCCCUAGUGACCGAUAGUGAACCAGUACCGUGAGGGAAAGGUGAAAAGCACCCCGGAAGGGGAGUGAAAUAGAACCUGAAACCGUGUGCCUACAACAAGUCAAAGCCCGUUAAUGGGUGAUGGCGUGCCUUUUGUAGAAUGAACCGGCGAGUUACGAUUGCAUGCGAGGUUAAGUUGAAGAGACGGAGCCGCAGCGAAAGCGAGUCUGAAUAGGGCGUUUGAGUAUGUAGUCGUAGACCCGAAACCAUGUGAUCUACCCAUGUCCAGGUUGAAGGUGCGGUAAAACGCACUGGAGGACCGAACCCACGUACGUUGAAAAGUGCGGGGAUGAGGUGUGGGUAGCGGAGAAAUUCCAAACGAACUUGGAGAUAGCUGGUUCUCUCCGAAAUAGCUUUAGGGCUAGCCUCGGAAUUGAGAAUGAUGGAGGUAGAGCACUGUUUGGACUAGGGGCCCAUCUCGGGUUACCGAAUUCAGAUAAACUCCGAAUGCCAUUCAUUCAUAUCCGGGAGUCAGACUGUGAGUGAUAAGAUCCAUAGUCGAAAGGGAAACAGCCCAGACCACCAGCUAAGGUCCCAAAAUAUAUGUUAAGUGGAAAAGGAUGUGGGGUUGCACAGACAACUAGGAUGUUGGCUUAGAAGCAGCCAUCAUUUAAAGAGUGCGUAAUAGCUCACUAGUCGAGUGACCCUGCGCCGAAAAUGUACCGGGGCUAAACAUAUUACCGAAGCUGUGGAGUACACCUUUAGGUGUAUUGGUAGGAGAGCGUUCUAAGGGCGUUGAAGGCAGAUCGUGAGGACUGCUGGAGCGCUUAGAAGUGAGAAUGCCGGUAUGAGUAGCGAAAGACAGGUGAGAAUCCUGUCCACCGAAUGACUAAGGUUUCCUGGGGAAGGCUCGUCCGCCCAGGGUUAGUCGGGACCUAAGCCGAGGCCGACAGGCGUAGGCGAUGGAUAACAGGUUGAUAUUCCUGUACCCGUUGUUUUUGUUUGAGCAAUGGAGGGACGCAGGAGGCUAAGGAAUGCAGACGAUCGGAAAUGUCUGUCCAAGCAGUAAGUCUGAAGAGGAGUCAAAUGCUUCUUUUCUUAAGGACAAGCUGUGAUGGGGAGGGAAAUAAUAGUACCGAAGUUCCUGAUGUCACACUGCCGAGAAAAGCUUCUAGUGAGAAAACAGCAGCCCGUACCGCAAACCGACACAGGUAGUCGAGGAGAGAAUCCUAAGGUGAGCGAGAGAACUCUCGUUAAGGAACUCGGCAAAAUGACCCCGUAACUUCGGGAGAAGGGGUGCUGAUCAUACGAUCAGCCGCAGUGAAUAGGCCCAAGCGACUGUUUAUCAAAAACACAGGUCUCUGCAAAAUCGUAAGAUGAAGUAUAGGGGCUGACGCCUGCCCGGUGCUGGAAGGUUAAGAGGAGUGCUUAGCGCAAGCGAAGGUACGAAUUGAAGCCCCAGUAAACGGCGGCCGUAACUAUAACGGUCCUAAGGUAGCGAAAUUCCUUGUCGGGUAAGUUCCGACCCGCACGAAAGGCGUAACGAUUUGGGCACUGUCUCAACGAGAGACUCGGUGAAAUUUUAGUACCUGUGAAGAUGCAGGUUACCCGCGACAGGACGGAAAGACCCCAUGGAGCUUUACUGUAGUUUGAUAUUGAGUGUCUGUACCGCAUGUACAGGAUAGGUAGGAGCCGUAGAAAUCGGAACGCUAGUUUCGAUGGAGGCGCUGGUGGGAUACUACCCCUGCGUUAUGGCCACUCUAACCCGCACCACUAAUCGUGGUGGGAGACAGUGUCAGAUGGGCAGUUUGACUGGGGCGGUCGCCUCCUAAAAGGUAACGGAGGCGCCCAAAGGUUCCCUCAGAAUGGUUGGAAAUCAUUCGAAGAGUGUAAAGGCAGAAGGGAGCUUGACUGCGAGACCAACAAGUCGAGCAGGGACGAAAGUCGGGCUUAGUGAUCCGGUGGUUCCGCAUGGAAGGGCCAUCGCUCAACGGAUAAAAGCUACCCUGGGGAUAACAGGCUUAUCUCCCCCAAGAGUCCACAUCGACGGGGAGGUUUGGCACCUCGAUGUCGGCUCGUCGCAUCCUGGGGCUGUAGUCGGUCCCAAGGGUUGGGCUGUUCGCCCAUUAAAGCGGCACGCGAGCUGGGUUCAGAACGUCGUGAGACAGUUCGGUCCCUAUCCGUCGCGGGCGUUGGAAAUUUGAGAGGAGCUGUCCUUAGUACGAGAGGACCGGGAUGGACUUACCGCUGGUGUACCAGUUGUUCUGCCAAGGGCAUUGCUGGGUAGCUAUGUAGGGAAGGGAUAAACGCUGAAAGCAUCUAAGUGUGAAGCCCACCUCAAGAUGAGAUUUCCCAUUUCUUUAAGAAAGUAAGAUCCCUGAGAGAUGAUCAGGUAGAUAGGUCAGGAGUGGAAGUACAGUGAUGUAUGGAGCGGACUGAUACUAAUCGAUCGAGGACUUAACCAA
rnacentral:rRNA from 1 species